rnacentral:rRNA from 1 species
AACGAACGCUGGCGGCAGGCUUAACACAUGCAAGUCGAACGCCCCGCAAGGGGAGUGGCCGACGGGUGAGUAACACGUGGGAACAUGCCCAAAGGUACGGAAUAUUCUCGGGAAACUGAGAGCAAUACCGUAUGUGCCCGAAAGGGGAAAGAUUUAUCGCCUUUGGAUUGGCCCGCGUCGGAUUAGCUAGUUGGUGGGGUAAAAGCCUACCAAGGCGACGAUCCGUAGCUGGUCUGAGAGGACGACCAGCCACACUGGGACUGAGACACGGCCCAGACUCCUACGGGAGGCAGCAGUGGGGAAUCUUGGACAAUGGGCGCAAGCCUGAUCCAGCCAUGCCGCGUGGAUGAUGAAGGCCCUAGGGUUGUAAAAUCCUUUCGUUGGGGACGAUAAUGACGGUACCCAAAGAAGAAGCUCCGGCUAACUUCGUG